GCUCAAAUGGGCAGAUUCCGUAGUCCUCUUGUCCUUAGGAAUACUUCGUAAAACAGAAUGAGGACUGUCCAUGGUUUUCAGAGCACUGAGCAGUGGGACAGCCUGCCUUGCCUUUUUUUUGCUACCAUUGUAUACAGGACUGCUUUGUCUCAGCCGACAGAACCAGCAAGCCAGAAAGGUCAGCUGUGCUGCAGCCCUGGGAGGCACGCAGGCCAGAGGAGGGAAGGAAGGC